rnacentral:lncRNA from 1 species
ACAAAAAAGCCCUAUACCAACUUGGGCAUGAACUCGGCAGAUGGUCACAUGGUCUCCAGAGGACUCUUCACGCAGCAGGCACCCUAGCAGCACACACAGGAUCUUGGGAUCACUGGUGAGUGGAAAGCAACAUCUGUUCCAAAAUAACUGGAAGGGGCAUAUGCCAGCAGGAACAGGGACACAGGAAACCCACCCAACCAGCUGCUAGGGUUUGUUUCAGUCAAUGCCAGCCUUGCUCUACCUUGUUCAUGAAAUUGGCAGAUAGUCACAUGAUCCCUAGAGAACUCUCCACUCCUCAUGCACCCUAGCACACCCAAGAUCUUAGGAUCACUGAGGAGAGUAAGCCUCCAGAGAGGGCUCUGACCCCAGGACUCAGGUGAGAGUGUCAUCUUGUAUCCCAGGUAACUCAGAGACCAGUCCACUCAGGAGAAUACUCGGGCCAAAUAAGCAACACAGCUUUUUGGACAGGGUCCCUUCAGGCUUUCAUUCCCAGCUAGGAAGCAUAGCUGAGACCCAGACCUCUGUGCACCUCCCACGCCUGCCACCCCCACCCCCAGAGGUGGGUCAGCCACCAGGGAAGGCUCUGACAACAGUACUAAGGUAAGAGCACCAUCUUGUAUCCCGGGUCUCUCAGAAACCAGUCUGCACAGGAGAGCAUGUGGGCUGAAGAAGCAACAGAGCUUCAAGGAAAGGAUCUCUUCAGGCCUUCAUCUUUAGCCAGGAAGCAGAUCUGAGUGCCAGAACUCAGACCUCCCCUACAAGAGGAGAGCAUGCCCACAGAGAGUACUCAGCCCACUGGGACUCAGGAAAGAGUUGUACUCCAGGAGUGCUGACAGAGGCUAAAAGAAUCAUAGGAGGAACAAGCUCCAACCAGAGAUACCUAGAACAUCUAACACCAAAGAUUACCAGAUGGUGAAAGGCAAAUAUAAGAAACUUACUAACAGAAACCAAGAGCACAUGGCAAUAUCAGAACCCAGUAUGAUCAACUAGGAGUCCUGGAUACCCCUAUACGACUGAAAAAAAAGAUUCGUAUUUAAAAUCAUAUUUCAUGAUGCUGGUAGAGGAUUUUGAGAAGGGCAUUAAUAACUCACUUAAAGAAAUAUAGGGAAACACUGCUAAACAGGCAGAAGUCCUUAAAGAAGAAACACAAAAAUCCCUCAUGGAAUUACAGGAAUACACAACCAAACAGGUGAUGGAAUUGAAAAAAACCAUUCAUGAUCUACAAAGGAAAGUAGAAAAAAUAAAGAAAACCCAAAGUGAGGCAACUCCGGAGAAAGAAAUCCUAGGAAAGAAAUCAGGUAACAUAGAUGAAAUAAUCAGCAACAGGAUACAAGAGAUGGAAGACAGAAUCUCAGGAGCAGAAGAUUCCAUACAAAACAUGAACACAACAAUCAAAAAAAUUCAAAAUGCAAAAAUAUUCUAAUUGAAAAUAUCCUGGAAAUCCAGACACAAUGAGAAGACCAAACCUAAGGAUAAUAGGUAUAGAUGAGAAUGAAGAUUUUCAACUUAAAGGGCCAGUAAAUAUCUUCAACAAAAUUAUAGAAGAAACCUUCCCAAACCUAAAGAAAGAGAUGACCAUGAACAUACAAAAAGCCUACAGAACUCCAAAUAGACUGGACCAGAAAAGAAAUUCCUCCUGACACAUGCUAAUCAGGACAACAAAUGGCUAAAUAAAGAUAGAAUAUUAAAAGUAGUGAGGGUAAAAGAUCAAAUAACAUAUAAAGGCAGACCUAUUAGAAUUACAUCAUAUUUCUCACCAGAUACUAUGAAAGCCAGAUGAUCCUGGACAGAUGUUAUACAGACCCUAGGAGAACACAGGUGCCAGCCCAGGCUACUAUACCCAACAAAACUCUCAAUUACCAUAGAUGGAGAAACCAAAGCAUUCCAUGACAAAACCAAAUUCACACAAUAUCUUUACACAAAUCCAACCCUUCAAAGGAUACUAAAGGGAAAACUACAACACAAAGAGGGAAAUUAUGCCCUAGAAAAAGGAAUAAAGUAAUAUUUCAACAAACCAAGAAAAGAUAGACACAUGAACAGAAUUCCAACUCUAACAACAAAAAAAACAGGAAGUAAAAAUUACUUUUCCUUAGUAGCUCUUAAUAUCAAUGGACUCAAUUUCCC